rnacentral:rRNA from 1 species
UCCUCCCUCUGGCGGCGUGCUUAACACAUGCAAGUCGAACGGAAAGGCCCUGCUUGCAGGGUACUCGAGUGGCGAACGGGUGAGUAACACGUGGGUGAUCUGCCCUGCACUUCGGGAUAAGCCUGGGAAACUGGGUCUAAUACCGGAUAGGAGCCAUUUUUAGUGUGAUGGUUGGAAAGUUUUUUCGGUGUAGGAUGAGCUCGCGGCCUAUCAGCUUGUUGGUGGGGUAAUGGCCUACCAAGGCGGCGACGGGUAGCCGGCCUGAGAGGGUGGACGGCCACAUUGGGACUGAGAUACGGCCCAGACUCCUACGGGAGGCAGCAGUGGGGAAUAUUGCACAAUGGGCGCAAGCCUGAUGCAGCGACGCCGCGUGGGGGAUGACGGCCUUCGGGUUGUAAACUCCUUUCGCUAGGGACGAAGCUUUUUGUGACGGUACCUAGAUAAGAAGCACCGGCUAACUACGUG